rnacentral:rRNA from 1 species
UUACACAUGCAAGUCGAACGGAAACUUGUUUUCGUGGCGAACGGGUGAGUAGAUGCAGAAUUUUUCCUUCUAGUUCAGUACAAAAAUUCUUUAUUGAAUUCAAAUUCUGAAUAACUGAAAGGUUUGUUUCAUACAUUCCGCUACAAGAUAAAUCUGCUAAAGAUUAGGUUGUUGGUAAUUUAAUAGCUUACCAAGCCUUUGAUCUUUAGUUGGUCUUAGAGGAUGAUCAACCACACUGGAACUGAAAUAAGGUCCAGGCUGACAUGUCGGCCAGCAGUGAGGAAUAUUGGACAAUGAACGAAAGUUUGAUCCAGCAAUUCUAACUGGGUGAUGACGGCUUAUUUAAGUUGUAAGAUCCUUUGAUUAAAGAAGAUAAUGACAUUAUUUAAUUGAAUUAGUCCUGGCUAAUACUCGUGCCAGCAGCCGCGGUAAUACGGGCAGGGCAAGCGUUAUCCGGCAUGACUGGGCGUAAAGAGUCCGUAGACUGUAAAGUAAGUUUUUUGUCAAAUUCUAAAACUCAAUUUUAAAACAGCA